UACAGAGGGGGCAAGCGUUGUUCGGAAUUACUGGGCGUAAAGGGCGCGUAGGCGGCCUUCUAAGUCGAACGUGAAAUCCCCGGGCCCAACCCGGGAACUGCGUCCGAUACUGGAAGGCUUGAAUUCGGGAGAGGGAUGCGGAAUUCCAGGUGUAGCGGUGAAAUGCGUAGAUAUCUGGAGGAACACCGGUGGCGAAGGCGGCAUCCUGGACCGGCAUUGACGCUGAGGCGCGAAAGCCAGGGGAGCAAACGGG
rnacentral:rRNA from 1 species